UGCAGAAAGAUAAAGAUAAUGGGUUUUCUACCCAAGGAUAUCAACUGCCUUACACAUGUCCCUGGGUUCUAAAUGAGGUCCCAUGUCCUCCACAAUCUUUCCAUCGUCUUUCCUUCCUCUGAAUAAUAAAUUUCAUCUCCUGGACUACCAACCCAACUUGAGAAAAACAUAUAGGUAAAAGGAAUGCUACUUUCACCCAUGGGAGGGGCACCUGGGUGAUGC